rnacentral:tRNA from 2 species
AAGAAAUUAGCUCAGUUGGUAGAGCGUUCGUUUUACACACGAAGGUCAGGUGUUCAAAUCACCUAUUUCUUA